rnacentral:rRNA from 1 species
GAUUUUAAGCUUCUACGGGAGGCUGCAGUGGGGAAUCUUAGACAAUGGGGGAAACCCUGAUCUAGCCAUGCCGCGUGAUCGAUGAAGGCCUUAGGGUUGUAAAGAUCUUUCAGGUGGGAAGAUAAUGACUGUACCACCAGAAGAAGCCCCGGCUAACUCCGUGCCAGCAGCCGCGGUAAUACGGAGGGGGCUAGCGUUGUUCGGAAUUACUGGGCGUAAAGCGCACGUAGGCGGAUCAGAAAGUCAGAGGUGAAAUCCCAGGGCUCAACCUUGGAACUGCCUUUGAAACUCCUGAUCUUGAGGUCGAGAGAGGUGAGUGGAAUUCCGAGUGUAGAGGUGAAAUUCGUAGAUAUUCGGAGGAACACCAGUGGCGAAGGCGGCUCACUGGCUCGAUACUGACGCUGAGGUGCGAAAGCGUGGGGAGCAAACAGGAUUAGAUACCCUUGUAGUCGAAUUCUU